rnacentral:rRNA from 1 species
AGUGGCGGACGGGUGAGUAACGCGUGGGUAACCUGCCUCAUACAGGGGGAUAACAGUUAGAAAUGACUGCUAAUACCGCAUAAGACCACAGCGCCGCAUGGUGCAGGGGUAAAAACUCCGGUGGUAUGAGAUGGACCCGCGUCUGAUUAGGUAGUUGGUGGGGUAACGGCCUACCAAGCCGACGAUCAGUAGCCGACCUGAGAGGGUGACCGGCCACAUUGGGACUGAGACACGGCCCAA